AUUCUUCCUCCACUCUCCCCAGUCACUGCUCCGCCUCUCAGUCGUCGACGUCACAGCCGUUCUUCUCGUCGUCAGCGCCUUUGUCUGGUGACGCUCUGCAAUUGGUAAUAUCCGAAUGCAAACUGAAAGCUAAGAUUGUGGACCUUUGUCAGAAAGGUGAUUCAUACAUCAGAGAGCAAACUGGUAAUAUGUUAAAAAAAUGUGAAGAAGAAGAUUGAACGAGGGGUAGCCUUUCCAACUUGCAUUUCUGUGAACAACACUGUAUGCCAUUUCUCCCAGCUUGCAAGUGACGAAACAGUGUUGGAAGAAGGAGAUAUUCUGAAGAUGACUUUAUUAGAUUAUCAGUUGCUGUUUAUUGACUCCUACCAUUGUGGAGGCCUUAAUUUGUGCCCAAAAUUGGUUAAAGUCCGAUGACAUCUCUUCUUUAGAGUAUGAGCCAAGCAUUCAAGAGAUGGAGUUUUAUGAAUCGAUUGAGACAGAUCUUAGGAGGCCAUGCACACCAACCAAUUCAACUCAUGCAACUUUCCAAUGAGACUACAUGGUUGUUUGAGUGUGGUUUCUGUCUUGAGUUCAUCCAACUAGAGCAAAGCUUGGUAAACCUUGUGAUAUGAGAUUUGCUGCUCAAAUUUUUGGCAACUUGAUAAUGGAUGACAUAAUGGAGCCAAUUGUGUAUUUGUUUUGUGUAAU